UACGUAGGCAGCAAGCGUUGUUCGGAAUUACUGGGCGUAAAGAGUGUGUAGGCGGUGUUCUAAGUUUGUCGUGAAAUCUCCCGGCUUAACUGGGAGGGUGCGGCGAAAACUGGAAUGCUAGAGGAUGGGAGAGGUAAGCGGAAUUCCUGGUGUAGCGGUGAAAUGCGUAGAUAUCAGGAGGAAUACCGGUGGUGUAGACGGCUCUCUGGACCGCAACUGACGCUGAGACACGAAAGCGUGGGUAGCAAACAGG
rnacentral:rRNA from 1 species